rnacentral:lncRNA from 1 species
GUAAAGAAGACUUUUCUCAAGACUCUUGCCAUAGGGGUCAUCUCUACUGCAGCAAUGAAGAUACAUUGCACUCACCUUCAAAUACAGCAGAGACAGCUGGCGAUUUAUGGCCAAGAGCAGAGGAAGAGGAUCAGUGGAUGGAAAAUAACUUAGAGCAGACUUCAAGGGUGGGAGGUUUCUUACAGAACUGACAACAGGAUUCUUGCUGAAGUCAGGCCAAGGAAUUAAUUCAGAACAUAGAAGGCUUUCAGGAUGAGCAUGUGUCAGCAGAGCACACGUGGAAAUAAUCUAUCAGUGAAAAGCCUCUGGUGGUUUUUCCUACCUGUGAACUGGACUGGAUCCUGAAUUCUUCUAGUCUCCUGAAAUACCUGGCUAAAAAUCUCCAAAUUAGCAUUUUUAAUUUUUUCCCUCAUUUUCAUUUGGAAUCAUUGAGAAUUGAACCUGCACUUUUUCCUGAAGCCUUGCAAACUGAAGCUGAACAACUUGAUAUAAACUUAAGAGAGAUACAUGUCUGUUGCUGUGUAAGCUGUAAGCCACUCAGAAAGAUACUUAAAUGCGUGAUGACAUCAUCAGAGACAUCUCAAGCUGCAAAAGAUGCUUUGACCCUGACAUCUAGAAAUCUUGACUGGCUGCCCCCUGGGCUUAAGAACUGUUUUAUAAUUUGCUCCAACAGUUAACCUUUUUUUUUUCCCCUUUUAUUUCCAGAGAAAUACUUCUUAUUAAAUACCUGAUUGCUUGCUUCCACAAUAUAGGGCUGACUUUGAGAAUGCACCUGCAUCCACACCUUCUAAAAUAAAUCUAACUGGACUCAUCUGUUAUCAUGACUAGCAAAUGUGUUCAGUGAGAUGAAACAAUCUACCACUCAGAUUCUGGACUAUGAAACUUCAUAAAGUUUCAAAGGACUAUGAAACUUACAAAGGACUAUGAAACUUACAAGUUUCAAAGGCGGGACUGUGGGGGAUUGGAAUUGGCCAUCCCAAGAUAUGUCUGUUUGACAUAAGGAUUAUUUGGGGUUGGUUACUUUUAAAAACUGCAGACAUGACAGAAACUCUGAAAAGUAGAAAUUACCCUUUGUAAAGAGACAUUUACAUUUGUAAAGGAAAUCUCCAUCUAUGAAGGUGUCUCCCUCUGUACCAGGAAGAAAGAGGGAUGACCUUAUCUCUAGAAACUUUUAUCAAUGCAGAAGGAAAGGACUUUUGAAUCUACAUAAUAACCUUACUCUUGUUUACUCUCCAUUUCUGGUAAUCUGCCCUAACUCAUUCCGCCCACUCCUAACAUCCUCUUUUGUAACUGAAGAUGGUAUUUAAGAUGAGAACCUCUGCCAUUUUUGCUAGUUGCUCAGUUUUCCUGAGUCUCUCCCAUGUAUAUAUGCCAUAAAGCUUUGUUUCAUUUUCUCCUGUUAUUCCAUCUCAUGUGAAUUUAAUGUGUAGCCAGACCAGAAGGGCCUUCGAGUGGGUAGAGGAAAUGUCUUCCUCCCCUACAGUAUCUGCU